rnacentral:rRNA from 1 species
AGCGAACGCUGGCGGCAGGCUUAACACAUGCAAGUCGAGCGGGCCUUUCGUGGUCAUCGGCGGACGGGUUAGUAACGCGUUGUAACGUGCCCUCUGGUUCGGAAUAACUCAGUGAAACUUGUGCUAAUACCUGAUACUCCCUUUUUGGGAAAGGCUUGCUGCCGGAGGAUCGGCCCGCGUCUGAUUAGCUAGUUGGUGAGGUAACGGCUCACCAAGGCGACGAUCAGUAGAUGGUCUGAGAGGAUGAUCAGCCACACUGGGACUGAGACACGGCCCAGACUCCUACGGGAGGCAGCAGUGGGGAAUAUUGGACAAUGGGCGCAAGCAUGAUCAAGCCAUGCCGCGUGAGUGAUGAAGGCCUUAGGGUUGUAAAGCCCUUUUAUCCGGGACGAUAAUGACGGUACCGGAGGAAUAAGCCCCGGCUAACUUCGUG